rnacentral:lncRNA from 1 species
GCUGGUUCCAAAGCAGAAACAGUGGAGCAGAAGGGCAUUACUGAGGAAAGCUACUCAAUCAUGGCAGCAAAAAAGCAGGGAAAGAAGGAACGGGCCAGGGGCAAGGGAACCCUAUCCACCCCUUCCAGGUCAAGGCCCAGUGACCCACCUCCAACCAGGCUCCACUUUCUAACAGAACAUUUACUACAAACUCAUCAAUGGACGAGUCUACUGAUGAGUAAAGCACCUUCAUGAUCCAGUCACCUUCCAAAAGCCACACCUCUGAACACACGAAACUUUGGGGAUGUUUUAGAUUGAAGCCAUAACGUCUAUACUGUGUAUAGAAAGAUGAAGAUUGAGGGAACCCUUGAGAGCAAGAUUAGAGUUGAACUCCUGCACUUCUGUUUCAGCAAGUGGACAAAAGCAAAUGGCACAUGGCAAUUAAAGUUAAUUUCCAAAAGAAAUUUCAUCUGCUCUGCUCUAAUUGGGGCAAUAGCUAAACUAACUGGAACAAAAGUUGUCCCUGUCAGGAAAAGCAAACUUAGACAUGGAUGGCGGAAACCUUUUCUGUAGAACACUGAUGUGCUCCCAUCCUAUGGACCCAGGAGAUGAAGGAAGAGUUGUCUUCAGCCCAGGAGAGAGUCUGUGUCAUAUUUGCUAUUGGGAAAUCUGAGGUGUAGCCCAAGAAGUCAACUCAAUCCUAGAGAACUCUGGAUGUGGAAUUCUAACCUAGGAGUAGGCAAACUGCAGCCUGCAGGCCAAAUCUAUCCCCAUCUUCUAUUUCUGUCAAUAAAGUUUUAUUGGAACACAGUCACUCCUCUCCUAUUCGAUUAGAUAUGAU